rnacentral:rRNA from 1 species
UACGUAGGGGGCAAGCGUUGUCCGGAUUUAUUGGGCGUAAAGAGCGUGUAGGCGGCUUUACAGGUCCGUUGUGAAAACUCGAGGCUCAACCUCGAGACGUCGACGGAAACCGUCUGGCUAGAGUCCGGAAGAGGAGUGUGGAAUUCCUGGUGUAGCGGUGAAAUGCGCAGAUAUCAGGAAGAACACCUAUGGCGAAGGCAGCACUCUGGGACGGUACUGACGCUGAGACGCGAAAGCGUGGGGAGCGAACAGG